UACGUAGGGGGCAAGCGUUGUCCGGAUUUAUUGGGCGUAAAGAGCGUGUAGGCGGCUUGGUAGGUCCGUUGUGAAAACUCGAGGCUCAACCUCGAGACGCCGGCGGAAACCAUCAGGCUAGAGUCCGGAAGAGGAGAGUGGAAUUCCUGGUGUAGCGGUGAAAUGCGCAGAUAUCAGGAAGAACACCCGUGGCUAAGGCGGCUCUCUAGUACGGUACUGACGCUGAGACGCGAAAGCGUGGGGAGCGAACAGG
rnacentral:rRNA from 1 species